rnacentral:rRNA from 1 species
UACGGGGGGAGCAAGCGUUGUUCGGAUUUACUGGGCGUAAAGGGCGCGUAGGCGGUCAGCACAAGUCAGUUGUGAAAUCUCCGGGCUUAACUCGGAAAGGUCAACUGAUACUGUGCGACUAGAGUGCGGAAGGGGCAACUGGAAUUCUUGGUGUAGCGAUGAAAUGCGUAGAUAUCAAGAGGAACACCUGCGGCGAAGGCGGGUUGCUGGGCCGACACUGACGCUGAGGCGCGAAAGCCAGGGGAGCGAACGGG